rnacentral:rRNA from 1 species
GUGGGGAAUAUUGGGCAAUGGGGGCAACCCUGACCCAGCGACGCCGCGUGAGGGAAGAAGGCCUUAGGGUCGUAAACCUCUGUUGUGUGGGAAGAAGGAAGUGACGGUACCACACGAGGAAGUCCCGGCUAACUACGUGCCAGCAGCCGCGGUAAUACGUAGGGGACGAGCGUUGUCCGGAAUUACUGGGCGUAAAGGGCGCGUAGGCGGUCAUUUAAGUCCUCUGUGAAAUGGUCCGGCUCAACCGGAUCAUGCGGUUGAAACUGGAUGACUGGAGUGCUGGAGAGGCAAGUGGAAUUCCCAGUGUGGCGGUGAAAUGCGUAGAUAUUGGGAAGAACACCGGUGGCGAAGGCGACUUGCUGGCCAGCAACUGACGCUGAGGCGCGAACGCCAGGGGCGCAAACGGGAUUAGAUACCCCGGUAGUCC